ACAGGGAUUACCUCAGUAACGGCGAGUGAAGCGGUAACAGCCCAAAUUUGAAAUCUGGCCUCACGGUCCGAGUUGUAAUUUGUAGAGGAUGCUUCGAGCAUGGUCUGGCCUAAGUUCCUUGGAACAGGACGUCAUAGAGGGUGAGAAUCCCGUAUGCGGCCAGGUGCCUACGCUCAUGUGAAGCUCCUUCGACGAGUCGAGUUGUUUGGGAAUGCAGCUCAAAAUGGGUGGUAAAUUUCAUCUAAAGCUAAAUAUUGGCCAGAGACCGAUAGCGCACAAGUAGAGUGAUCGAAAGAUGAAAAGCACUUUGGAAAGAGAGUUAAACAGUACGUGAAAUUGUUGAAAGGGAAGCGCUUGCAACCAGACUUGCGCGCGGCCGAUCAUCCGGUGUUCUCACCGGUGCACUCGGCCGUGCUCAGGCCAGCAUCGGUUUUGGCGGCUGGAUAAAGGCCCUAGGAAUGUGGCUCCUCUCGGGGAGUGUUAUAGCCUAGGGUGCAAUGCAGCCUGCUGGGACCGAGGACCGCGCUUCGGCUAGGAUGCUGGCGUAAUGGUUGUAAGCGGCCCGUCUUGAAACACGGACCAAGGAGUCUAACAUCUAUGCGAGUGUUUGGGUGUCAAACCCAUACGCGUAAUGAAAGUGAACGGAGGUGAGAACCCUUAAGGGUGCAUCAUCGACCGAUCCUGAUGUCUUCGGAAGGAUUUGAGUAAGAGCAUAGCUGUUGGGACCCGAAAGAUGGUGAACUAUGCCUGAAUAGGGUGAAGCCAGAGGAAACUCUGGUGGAGGCUCGCAGCGGUUCUGACGUGCAAAUCGAUCGUCAAAUUUGGGUAUAGGGGCGAAAGACUAAUCGAACCAUCUAGUAGCUGGUUCCUGCC
rnacentral:rRNA from 1 species